GGUCUAAUAGUGUAGUGGUUAUCACAAUGGAUUCUGAU
rnacentral:tRNA from 1 species